GGACUACCCGGGUAUCUAAUCCCGUUCGAUCCCCAAGCCUUCGUGCCUCAGCGUCAGUAUCAAAUAGUAACAUGCUUUCGCCGAUGCGAAACCCGUAAAGUAUCACGCAGAUUUUAACCCUACUCUAAUCGUAUUUGUUACCUCUUUUAUACUCUAGUAUAAUAAUAUAAGCACCAUGCCUACGUGUAAUAGUAAACAGAUUAAAUUAUACCGCCUACUCACCCUAUAGACCCGUUAAAGACGAGUAACGCUUGCCUCUCACGUAUUACCGCGGCUGCUGGCAC
rnacentral:rRNA from 1 species